AUGGCCACGUCCAGCUUCACCCCGGUGGGCUAUACCCGGAGCUCCACCCAGACAGACCAACUGAUCUCACAGAGCACCUGGAGAUCAGCGGAUCCCACAGAGUGCUGGAUAAAGAUGUCUUACUACUUUGACCGCGAUGAUGUGGCUUUGAAGAACUUCGCCAAACACUUUCUCCACCAAUCUCAUGAGGAGAGGGAACAUGCUGAGAAAUUGAUGAAGCUGCAGAACCAACGAGGUGGCCGAAUCUUCCUUCAGGAUAUCAAGAAACCAGACCGUGAUGAUUGGGAGAACGGGCUGAAUGCAAUGGAGUGUGCAUUACACUUGGAAAAGAGUGUGAAUCAGUCACUACUGGAACUGCACAAACUGGCCACUGAUAAAAAUGACCCCCAUUUGUGUGACUUCAUUGAGACUCAUUACCUGAAUGAGCAGGUGAAAUCCAUCAAAGAAUUGGGUGACCACGUAACCAACCUGUGCAAGAUGGGGGCCCCCGAAUCUGGCAUGGCAGAGUAUCUCUUUGACAAGCACACCUUACAAAUGUACAUGCAGGAAAGUAUACUCAAUACAAAUGAAAUCUUGGUUCAAAGCAUAUUUCCAUAA